GCAAAAUUUAUUCAGUUUCGUUAUUUAAACUAAAAUUAUAGUCUGCUAGUCAAGUAAUAUAGAACAAAAAACCGAAAAAUCCGGGUUUCAUAUAUUUUUCUAUGUAAAUUACAUGUAUAUUAAGAGGCAAGUAAGAAACUCACCUGUUUGUAUACGCGGUCUUUCUCAAUUUAUCUGUUUACGUUUGGCCUAAAAUAUCCGAUUAAUUAAAUUAAUUAUGUAUACUUUACCAAAAUUUUAAUUCCUUCAGUUUUAAGGGUGGGCAGUUCGGGCUGGUGGCAGGUUGGGCAGUUGUGAGUGUCUGUGUGAUGGUGAGGAAAGCGGAAGUUACGAAUGGGAUGCAGGUAGCUUAGGACCGAGGCAGACAGCUUAGGACUGAGGCAGACAGCUUAGGACUGAGGCAGGUAGGCAGUUGGUAGGAAUCAGUGGGGGGCACUUGUCAUUUCGGCCAUGGGAUUCAAAAUUUGCAUGCCGAGUAUUUGUUACUAAUGCUUGUUGUUUACAUUUGCUAGGUAUGCGCGUGGCUGCUCUCAAGAGAAGAUCGACUUAGCAAUUUGCAUUGUUUAGCAUUUGCAAGGUUGGUCUUCUCUUCGCCUCGCUACCCCGGCUGGCUCUCCGAGUGCUACCUCUACUUUAAGUAGAAGUACUUUUACUAUGUAGUAGAAGUACUUCUGCUUGAAGUAGAGGUAGUACUUGGGGAGCCGGCCGGGGUAGGGGAAUUUUUUUAAUUUUUUUUUUCAAUUCCCAUGGGAAUUGAAUUUUUAAUUAAAAAGGAGUCUCUUG